rnacentral:sRNA from 2 species
CAAAUGGACAUCUAGGGUUCCGGCUGUGAUUGAUUCAACUUAUAUCGAUUCAAAAACAGUGACUGGACCGAGAGUUGUCAACCUCAACUGAGGUCACACGGCGGGAUAAAAGCCCGGGAGGC